rnacentral:rRNA from 1 species
GAUGAACGCUGGCGGCGUGCCUAAUACAUGCAAGUCGAGCGAACAGAUGAGGAGCUUGCUCCUCUGACGUUAGCGGCGGACGGGUGAGUAACACGUGGAUAACCUACCUAUAAGACUGGGAUAACUUCGGGAAACCGGAGCUAAUACCGGAUAAUAUAUUGAACCGCAUGGUUCAAUAGUGAAAGACGGUUUUGCUGUCACUUAUAGAUGGAUCCGCGCCGCAUUAGCUAGUUGGUAAGGUAACGGCUUACCAAGGCAACGAUGCGUAGCCGACCUGAGAGGGUGAUCGGCCACACUGGAACUGAGACACGGUCCAGACUCCUACGGGAGGCAGCAGUAGGGAAUCUUCCGCAAUGGGCGAAAGCCUGACGGAGCAACGCCGCGUGAGUGAUGAAGGUCUUCGGAUCGUAAAACUCUGUUAUUAGGGAAGAACAAAUGUGUAAGUAACUAUGCACGUCUUGACGGUACCUAAGCAGAAAGCCACGGCUAACUACAU